rnacentral:rRNA from 1 species
AGGCUUACCACUUGCAAGUCGAGCGGGGUGAUGUAGCUUGCUACUUUACCUAGCGGCGGACGGGUGAGUAAUGCUUAGGAAUCUGCCUAUUAGUGGGGGACAACAUUCCAAAAGGAAUGCUAAUACCGCAUACCCCCUACGGGGGAAAGCAGGGGAUCUUCGGACCUUGCGCUAAUAAAUGAGCCUAAGUCAAAUUAGCUAGUUGGUGGGGUAAAGGCCUACCAAGGCGACAAUCUGUAGCGGGUCUGAAAGGAUGAUCCGCCACACUGGGACUGAAACACGGCCCAAACUCCUACGGGAGGCAGCAGUGGGGAAUAUUGGACAAUGGGCGCAAGCCUGAUCCAGCCAUGCCGCGUGUGUGAAAAAGGCCUUUUGGUUGUAAAGCACUUUAAGCGAGGAGGAGGCUACUUGGAUUAAUACUCUAGGAUAGUGGACGUUACUCGCAAAAUAAGCACCGGCUAACUCUGUG